ACAGAUUUCUUAGCCCACAGGAUCUUCUGGAGCCUGGCAGGCCCUGCGCUAAACAGCAAAGCUCAAGUGCAACCUUCAGCGACCAUGGAGGACCCAAAAAAGAGUAGCUCUGGGUGCCAACCAAGGACUCCAGACAUUUCCCAUGCCACAGACAUCGGUCAGAAGCAAAGAGACCAGCUAUGCCAGGAUGGUCCCAGCACCCCAGCCUUCUCUCGCACCCCCCCCAAGACGACGCCCACAAUCAGCCGGAAGCAGUCUUGAGAAUUCGCCGCCCCAAUUCCUUCAAACUGAAGUGUCUAAUUUGCUUUUUAUCAAAAGCAAGAUGUGGGAAUGAUAUUCUUGGGUCCCUGCCCUAGCCACGCCCACUCCCAUAACCUCUGACCCACCCAUCGCCAUCUUGGGACCUCUCUCUCUCUCUUUCUGCUUCCUUGGCGUGCGCACGCGUUUUCUCUCUCUCUCUCUCUCUCUCUCUCUCUCUCUCUCUCUCUCUCUCUCUUCUUUUAUCUCUCCUCUCUCCUUUUAUCUCUUUUCUCUGUCUUUCUUUCUCCCCCUUCCUUAAUAAAUACUUAUGGCUAUUUCCUGUG